GACGAACGCUGGCGGCGUGCAUAACACAUGCAAGUCGAACGAAGUGGCGGACGGGUGAGUAACGCGUGAGUAACCUGCCUUAGAGAAGGGGAUAGCCUUUGGAAACGAAGAAUAAUACCCUAUGCUCUAAAAUGGACUUGCGUCUGAUUAGUUAGUUGGUGGGGUAACGGCCCACCAAGACAGCGAUCAGUAGCCGGCUUGAGGGAGUGGACGGCCAGAUUGGGACUGUGACACGGCCCGGAGUCUACGGGAGGCAGCAGUGGGGAAUGUUGCACAAUGGGGGAAACCCGGAUGCAGCGACGCCGCGUGAUUUAGAAGGCCUUCGGGUUGUAAAAAUCUUUUCUAUGGGAAGCAGUACCAUAGGAAUAAGGACCGGCUAAUUACGUGCCAGCAGCCGCGGUAAUUC
rnacentral:rRNA from 1 species